AACCGACAGCUGAAUAAAUGAAAAAGCAAAUUGACUGCCAAAUACCACCAAUGAUAAGAGGGUUACGACGACCAAACCUUUCCAAUACAUACAUACCACCAAAAGUGCAGCCAAAAUUAACUGCAUCAAGAAUCAUAGCAGAUAGGUAAGGAGAAUUAAUACCAGCUCCUUGCAUAACUGAGAAACCAUAGUAGAAGAAAUAGUUGUUACCGGUCAAUUGUUGAAGCGACAUAACAAACAUACCAAGGAAAGUACGAUAACGAAUGUCUUUACCGAAAAUGCUUGCCCAGCUGCAAGGGCCACCAGCAAAUUCUUCGUCAAUAGAUGAUUUGAGACGGUGAUAUUCAUUUUGAACUUCCUCACUAUCAGGAAAAAGCUCAGCACUUUCAGAAAGAACUCUAACAGCCUCUUCAUCCUUGCCAACUUGAAUAAGAUAACGAGGGGAUUCGGGAAGGAAGAGAAUUCCAAUCAUGGUAAUGAUACCCCAAAGGAGAUUAAUACCAAUUGAAACACGCCACUGGGCAGUUUUAUGAAGUUUGUGAGUACCCAUAUUGAUACAAGCGGCAAUGAAAAUUCCACCAGUGACAAACAACUGAUAAGUGACGACGACGGUACCACGAAUACUGGGAGGAGCAGUCUCUGAUUGAUAUCCAGGAGCCAAGACAGAAAGAGCGCCAAUACCAAUACCAGUCCAAAUCUUGGCAACCAUGAUUUGUACCCAAGAGGGAACAGCGGUAACUUGAACGAUGAUACCAAUGAUAUAAACAGCACAAAAACCAAUGAUAGAAAGUCUCUUACCAAAACGAUCGGCAAUGGGAGAAGAAAUGAUACAUCCAAACAAGGAACCAACGUUAACCAUACCAGUUAAAAGACCUUGACGAGCCGAAGACAAAGAAUACUGGUCGGUGAUCGGGUCAUAUCUAUCAGCAUAACGCUCACGAAAAUCGCGCAUACUAGUAACACCACCAAUGGAACCGGUAUCAGCACCAA